rnacentral:rRNA from 1 species
UGGGGAAUAUUGGGCAAUGGGGGGAAACCCUGACCCAGCAACGCCGCGUGAAGGAAGAAGGCUUUCGGGUUGUAAACUUCUUUUACCAGGGACGAAGGACGUGACGGUACCUGGAGAAAAAGCCACGGCUAACUACGUGCCAGCAGCCGCGGUAAUACGUAGGUGGCAAGCGUUGUCCGGAUUUACUGGGUGUAAAGGGCGUGUAGGCGGAGAAGCAAGUCAGAAGUGAAAUCCAUGGGCUUAACCCAUGAACUGCUUUUGAAACUGUUUCCCUUGAGUAUCGGAGAGGCAGGCGGAAUUCCUAGUGUAGCGGUGAAAUGCGUAGAUAUUAGGAGGAACAC